rnacentral:rRNA from 1 species
AUUGAACGCUGGCGGCAUGCUUUACACAUGCAAGUCGAACGGCAGCGCGGGCUUCGGCCUGGCGGCGAGUGGCGAACGGGUGAGUAAUACAUCGGAACGUGCCCAGUAGUGGGGGAUAGAUCGGCGAAAGCCGGAUUAAUACCGCAUACGACCUGAGGGUGAAAGCGGGGGAUCUUCGGACUUCGCGCUAUUGGAGCGGCCGAUGGCAGAUUAGCUAGUUGGUGGGGUAAAGGCCUACCAAGGCGACGAUCUGUAGCUGGUCUGAGAGGACGACCAGCCACACUGGGACUGAGACACGGCCCAGACUCCUACGGGAGGCAGCAGUGGGGAAUUUUGGACAAUGGGCGAAAGCCUGAUCCAGCAAUGCCGCGUGUGUGAUGAAGGCCUUCGGGUUGUAAAGCACUUUUGGCGGGAACGAAAAGGACUGUGCCAAUACCACGGUUCGAUGACGGUACCCGCAGAAUAAGCACCGGCUAACUACGUG